rnacentral:rRNA from 1 species
AGUGAACGCUGGUCGGUAGGCCUAACACAUGCAAGUCGAACGGCAGCACAGGAGAGCUUGCUCUCUGGGUGGCGAGUGGCGGACGGGUGAGGAAUACAUCGGAAUCUACUUUUUCGUGGGGGAUAACGUAGGGAAACUUACGCUAAUACCGCAUACGACCUACGGGUGAAAGCAGGGGAUCUUCGGACCUUGCGCGAUUGAAUGAGCCGAUGUCGGAUUAGCUAGUUGGCGGGGUAAAGGCCCACCAAGGCGACGAUCCGUAGCUGGUCUGAGAGGAUGAUCAGCCACACCGGAACUGAGACACGGUCCAGACUCCUACGGGAGGCAGCAGUGGGGAAUAUUGGACAAUGGGCGCAAGCCUGAUCCAGCCAUACCGCGUGGGUGGAGAAGGCCUUCGGGUUGUAAAGCCCUUUAGUUGGGAAAGAAAUCCAGCUGGCUAAUACCCGGUUGGGAUGACGGUACCCAAAGAAUAAGCACCGGCUAACUUCGUGCCAGCAGCCGCGGUAAUACGAAGGGUGCAAGCGUUACUCGGAAUUACUGGGCGUAAAGCGUGCGUAGGUGGUCGUUUAAGUCCGUUGUGAAAGCCUUGGGCUCAACCUGGGAACUGCAGUGGAUACUGGGCGACUAGAGUGUGGUAGAGGGUAGCGGAAUUCCUGGUGUAGCAGUGAAAUGCGUAGAGAUCAGGAGGAACAUCCAUGGCGAAGGCAGCUACCUGGACCAACACUGACACUGAGGCACGAAAGCGUGGGGAGCAAACAGGAUUAGAUACCCUGGUAGUCCACGCCCUAAACGAUGCGAAC